rnacentral:rRNA from 1 species
UACAGAGGGGGCUAGCGUUGUUCGGAAUUACUGGGCGUAAAGGGCGCGUAGGUGGCCUGUUAAGUCGAACGUGAAAUCCCCGGGCUCAACCCGGGAACUGCGUCCGAGACUGGCAGGCUCGAAUCCGGGAGAGGGAUGUGGAAUUCCAGGUGUAGCGGUGGAAUGCGUAGAUAUCGGGAGGAACAUCAGUGGCGAAGGCGGCCUUCUGGUCCAGUACUGACACUCAAGUGCGAAAGCGUGGGGAGCAAACAGG